CAACUGGUUUUGGAAUGACAGGUCAUCCUUGAUUUUUUCCCCCCUGUUUUUUAAACCUAUUUAACUUUUCUAUUUCGGAUAAAAAGGUCUCAGUGGGUACUAGGUGGCUAGCUAACGUAAAAUGUACGACAAGAAGGACAUCGGGAAACAUCCUAGGCGGUUCUGGCUGAUGACCUGUCUCCAUAGCUGAGAGAAACCAAGGAGGAAUAUCACUUCGUUCCCAACAAUACUGCUAAUAUUUCUAACUGUACCGAUGAGAAAGAGUAGGGCAGACUUAUAUAAUACAGAAAUGUUCUUGUUCUGCCAAUCAUAUGUUGGAAACCAUUGUCAAGGAAUACAAUUUCCACAAAAAGUGUUCAACUAGUUAUCUGUUUCUUGAACACCAGUGACUCUUCUAAGGACAAUAAUAACUCUUACCUGUAGGAAAAUGUCUAAAUGUACAAUAAGGGGUAUAUCCUUAAUAAAAUAAUUGAUGGUUAAUUGUGGAUGGACAUGACAAUUAACUAACACUUA